CCCGCAUACCACGCCUGUCCCUGGGCGGCCGUCUGCGCAGGCCCGGCUAGAGUCAUGACAGGUCUCAAAGAAGCAAGCUGGGCCCAGGAAUGCAUGCAAGGAACAGACUUCGAGCUGAAGAAGCCAGCAACUCUGAAAAUCAACAGGCACAGACAAUACCUGAACAAAAGCCUACUUUUUCUAGUCUCUAGACAAAAGACUAGAAAAGAAGCAGCCUAGCCAGACAGAAAACUCAGAAAAUGAGCAAAAGACAUGACCUGACAUUUCAACAAAGAGGACGUACAGAUGGCAAAUGAACCACAAGACGCCGGACAUCAUCAGCCACUAGGAAAAUGCACAUUAAAACCACAAUGGGAUAUGACACGCUUGUCGCUGAUGAAAUGUCCCAAACCAACAGAGCUGCCUGACCUGGGAAUCAGACCCGUCCGCCCUAGUGGAAAAGAAGCCCGCUCCUCCGGCCGCGCACCAGAGAAGGCUGCAGUUACCUGGCCUGGUCAAUUCACUGAAGAGAUGCAGGAGAA